ensembl:miRNA gga-mir-12227 gga-mir-12227
CAGUGGGGAGCACAGGGCAGGGCGUAACGGCUGACCUCUGCCCUCAUUGCUCCUCAAAGGCU